UUCUACUACUUCUCCUCUUCUCUUCUUCUACUUCUCCUCUCCUCCUCUUCUAAUUUUUUCUCUUCUUCUACUUCCCCUCUUCUUCUAUUUUUCCUCUUCUUCUCCUCUCCUCCUCUUCUUAUUCUCCUUUUUCUUCUUUUCUUCUCCUCCUCUUCUUAUUUUCAUUUUUCCCAAUUCUACAUAUUACUAACCCUAAUAAUCUAGCACAAACCUAAUAACAAUAGGAAUUAAAUGACAAAAAAAAA
rnacentral:lncRNA from 1 species